rnacentral:lncRNA from 1 species
GUGGUUAGAGCUGCUGCCUUUAUACCUGAAAGUCACAGGUUCGAAUUCCAUUAAGCAAGGCACUUAUCCAAAGCAGCCAAGCUCUAUAACUGGGUAAAUAAUUGUACUUCGUUGUGGAGAAAAUCCUCGGCUAAACAUACAAUGCGCAGGCGUCACUUCCUCCUUCCACCGCUAGGUGGCACUGUAUGCUCGUCUGGUCAUUUCCGCGCCACCACGUGAUCUCGUACCGCAGUCCGUCCGUCUGCGCUUCGUCUGCGCUUCGUCUGUUACAGGCCGUCAGUUGUUGAGAGACCGCAGCGGGGCAGUGUGAAAAGAACUGAAAGUGCUGUCCUCCUGACUGGGCAGCUUCGUCUUCACACGCACGCACGCACGCACGCACACACACAUCCAGUGUGUUUGUGCAGAUGAAACCUACGAUUUUGUGCAUGUGUUUCUGAUAAGUGUUCACUCUAAUAUCCACUAAGCACAACGAUAGUCAAAUGAAGGGUUACUGUAGGAUAUUUAUAGUGGAUGUAAAAAAAACCCCACUACAAAUCAGAAAGAAUGCAUUGUUGUAAUGUGAAUGGACGUACUGUGUGUACUUCCUGUGCAUGUGUGUGUGAUCACCAAAAAGCAGAAGUACAGGAUGGGAUUGCAGUCGCCGGGGUGGAGGGUUUGAGCUGCUGCUGCUGCUGCUGCUGCUGCUGCUGCUGCUGCUGCUGCUGCUGCUGCUGCUGCUGCUGCGGCUGUUUGCACUGAGGAGGAAGAACUCGCAGUUCCACAUUGAUGCUCCACAAAGUCCUGCGAAUGCAUCAGAUGCGCACAGGCCCUCGCACUGCGUGUGCAGUGGCUCAUGAGCGCAAAUGCAGCGCUGCAGAUGCACCAGUACAGGAGUCUGUCGGAGCCUCAACGCACACUGCGAGGGAGCAGGGAGAGCAGCGAGGACUAUGCCUGGACAAGACGAUAAGGAUGAGGAUGGCGGCGGUGCGAAUGCUUCCAGGAAGGAAUGUUGGAGAAACGUCUAAUACACACAUUGUCAAAAAUUAAAAUGUUUGCUGGC